AUUGAACGCUGGCGGCAUGCCUUACACAUGCAAGUCGAACGGCAGCACGGGUGCUUGCACCUGGUGGCGAGUGGCGCACGGGUGAGUAAUACAUCGGAACAUGUCCUGUAGUGGGGGAUAGCCCGGCGAAAGCCGGAUUAAUACCGCAUACGAUCUACGGAUGAAAGCGGGGGACCUUCGGGCCUCGCGCUUUAGGGUUGGCCGAUGGCUGAUUAGCUAGUUGGUGGGGUAAAGGCCUACCAAGGCGACGAUCAGUAGCUGGUCUGAGAGGACGACCAGCCACACUGGGACUGGGACACGGCCCAGACUCCUACGGGAGGCAGCAGUGGGGAAUUUUGGACAAUGGGCGAAAGCCUGAUCCAGCAAUGCCGCGUGUGUGAAGAAGGCCUUCGGGUGGUAAAGCACUUUUGUCCGGAAAGAAAUCCUUGGCCCUAAUACGGUCGGGGGAUGACGGUACCGGAAGAAUAAGCACCGGCUAACUACGU
rnacentral:rRNA from 1 species